CCCUUUAGACGGGGACAACAUUCCGAAAGGGAUGCUAAUACCGGAUGUGACGCUCCUAUCGCAUGACGGGAGCGUGAAAGAUGGCCUCUACAUGUAAGCUAUCGCUAAAGGAUGGGCCUGCGUCUGAUUAGCUAGUUGGUAGUGUAACGGACUACCAAGGCGAUGAUCAGUAGCCGGUCUGAGAGGAUGAACGGCCACAUUGGGACUGAGACACGGCCCAA
rnacentral:rRNA from 1 species